rnacentral:rRNA from 2 species
AAAUUGAAGAGUUUGAUCAUGGCUCAGAUUGAACGCUGGCGGCAGGCCUAACACAUGCAAGUCGAACGGUAACAGGAAGCAGCUUGCUGCUUUGCUGACGAGUGGCGGACGGGUGAGUAAUGUCUGGGAAACUGCCUGAUGGAGGGGGAUAACUACUGGAAACGGUGGCUAAUACCGCAUAACGUCGCAAGACCAAAGAGGGGGACCUUCGGGCCUCUUGCCAUCAGAUGUGCCCAGAUGGGAUUAGCUUGUUGGUGAGGUAACGGCUCACCAAGGCGACGAUCCCUAGCUGGUCUGAGAGGAUGACCAGCCACACUGGAACUGAGACACGGUCCAGACUCCUACGGGAGGCAGCAGUGGGGAAUAUUGCACAAUGGGCGCAAGCCUGAUGCAGCCAUGCCGCGUGUAUGAAGAAGGCCUUAGGGUUGUAAAGUACUUUCAGCGGGGAGGAAGGUGUUGCGGUUAAUAACCGCAGCAAUUGACGUUACCCGCAGAAGAAGCACCGGCUAACUCCGUGCCAGCAGCCGCGGUAAUACGGAGGGUGCAAGCGUUAAUCGGAAUUACUGGGCGUAAAGCGCACGCAGGCGGUCUGUCAAGUCGGAUGUGAAAUCCCCGGGCUCAACCUGGGAACUGCAUUCGAAACUGGCAGGCUUGAGUCUUGUAGAGGGGGGUAGAAUUCCAGGUGUAGCGGUGAAAUGCGUAGAGAUCUGGAGGAAUACCGGUGGCGAAGGCGGCCCCCUGGACAAAGACUGACGCUCAGGUGCGAAAGCGUGGGGAGCAAACAGGAUUAGAUACCCUGGUAGUCCACGCCGUAAACGAUGUCUACUUGGAGGUUGUGCCCUUGAGGCGUGGCUUCCGGAGCUAACGCGUUAAGUAGACCGCCUGGGGAGUACGGCCGCAAGGUUAAAACUCAAAUGAAUUGACGGGGGCCCGCACAAGCGGUGGAGCAUGUGGUUUAAUUCGAUGCAACGCGAAGAACCUUACCUGGUCUUGACAUCCACAGAACUUUCCAGAGAUGGAUUGGUGCCUUCGGGAACUGUGAGACAGGUGCUGCAUGGCUGUCGUCAGCUCGUGUUGUGAAAUGUUGGGUUAAGUCCCGCAACGAGCGCAACCCUUAUCCUUUGUUGCCAGCGGUUAGGCCGGGAACUCAAAGGAGACUGCCAGUGAUAAACUGGAGGAAGGUGGGGAUGACGUCAAGUCAUCAUGGCCCUUACGACCAGGGCUACACACGUGCUACAAUGGCGCAUACAAAGAGAAGCGACCUCGCGAGAGCAAGCGGACCUCAUAAAGUGCGUCGUAGUCCGGAUUGGAGUCUGCAACUCGACUCCAUGAAGUCGGAAUCGCUAGUAAUCGUGGAUCAGAAUGCCACGGUGAAUACGUUCCCGGGCCUUGUACACACCGCCCGUCACACCAUGGGAGUGGGUUGCAAAAGAAGUAGGUAGCUUAACCUUCGGGAGGGCGCUUACCACUUUGUGAUUCAUGACUGGGGUGAAGUCGUAACAAGGUAACCGUAGGGGAACCUGCGGUUGGAUCACCUCCUUA